AAACUAUGUGGAAUUUUCCUCAAUAGUUCUUUCUGUAGAAUUUUUUUCUGCUGUAAGAAACCCCAUCAUCCUACUUUUAGAAGCUUUUGGCCUCAAGAGGUGAAGCUACAGCUGUUCUCACAGCUGUCUGCUGCAAGCAGAUCAUCUGAAUGUAAAAAUGUCUGUCACAGAUGGGAGCAGAAAGCCUUUUCAAACACGAGAUGGCUCCGAGUGAUAUGCAGGGUGUUGAAAGAUCUGCAAAACCCACAUUCAGAGAGAGAGAGGGAGAGAGAGAGAGAGAGAGAGAGAGAGAGAGAGAGAGAGAGAGAGAGCAGGAGGAAUUACACGUUUACAUUCCAGUCUAAAAAAGCUGAAUUAACUUUGCUUCUCCCUCUCUUAUUGGCUGAUGAAACUGAAAAGCUGAAAAAUGUUUGCUGCAACAUCAAUAGAUGGCAUGUGUGUAUCUGCAAACUGGUGUCCGGGCUGGAGCGGCGCGCACUGGGAAAUGCGCGCGUGUGUGUGAGCGUGCAGAGUUUAUUGAAAGAGUUCCUCUCUCCCCUCCCCUCUUCUGUCCUCCUCCCCCUCCCCUCCCCUCCCCUCCAGCCCAGGCAGCAGCAGCCUGGGUGGUCCCCCUCUCUCUCCACUUUGGUGAGCUGUUGCUUAGCAGCUAAUAAUAGGCGAUGUUUGCAAAGUAAUUUGCCUCUUCCUUGGCCAAUGGGAGCCGGAGCACUUUUCCAUCAAACCUCCCUUUUCAGGAUUUGCCGAGAGGCGAGCUUCUCCAAAUGUUACCGCUACGCGAUCGAAGUUAGACUUGACACGGACGGCUCGAGACACACACACAUAUACACGCACACAACUCACUCACUCCCUCACACACGCACACACACUCAGAGAGGCUACUACGAACUACUACAGCUCCGCUCUGAGUCUCACGAACUCUCGGGACGAAUGAAGACUGAAGGAUCUUUACGGAUUUCGGCGCAUAAUGUUGGGAUGGAGUUUCGAGACUCGUUUGGCUCCACGGAAGAGUAG
rnacentral:lncRNA from 1 species